AAAUUCAUAAAAUAAAUACAGUCACUUGUAGAAUAGAUGAAACUUUGAAAAUUUGCACUUUAAUAUAUUUCUUCUUUUAUAGUAUUCAUGGUGUCUGUGUUCAAAAUUAUUCACAGGUAUACACUGAACAUGACAGGAAAACCUGAAAGUUGAGAAAGUUGAGUUCUUUGAGAACUUCAUCUGUAAGAAUAACAGCCAGCAAACUUAUCUGGGCACAGAUCAGUUAACGACCACCUGUUUAUUAAAUGCAUAAAAUAAUAUUUUUAUAAGCAGAUCAUAAAUUUAUACGGCCAAAGACUCUUUUCUUCAAUGUACUUAACUAUGUGAAAAACAAACAGGAGACUUGUUUUUUGGAAGAUAUUCUGAAGAGAAUAAUGGUUGAAAGCAAUGAGGAUGAUGGAUCUCACAGGUAUUAAAUGCGAUCUCUAAAAUUUAUACUGAAUAUUUGCACUGUCUACAAAUAAAUGAAAUAUCACUGGACUUCUAAGGGAGCCA
rnacentral:lncRNA from 1 species